rnacentral:rRNA from 1 species
GUUUUCGAUCCAUGGCUCAGGAUGAACGCUGGCGGCGUGCCUAACACAUGCAAGUCGAGCGAUUUACUUAGGUAAAGAGCGGCGGACGGGUGAGUAACGCGUGGGUAACCUGCCCUGUACACACGGAUAACAUACCGAAAGGUAUGCUAAUACGAGAUAAUGUACUUUUGUCGCAUGGCAAAAGUAUCAAAGCUCCGGCGGUACAGGAUGGACCCGCGUCUGAUUAGCUAGUUGGAGAGGUAAUGGCUCACCAAGGCGACGAUCAGUAGCCGACCUGAGAGGGUGAUCGGCCACAUUGGAACUGAGACACGGUCCAAACUCCUACGGGAGGCAGCAGUGGGGAAUAUUGCACAAUGGGCGAAAGCCUGAUGCAGCAACGCCGCGUGAGCGAUGAAGGCCUUCGGGUCGUAAAGCUCUGUCCUCAAGGAAGAUAAUGACGGUACUUGAGGAGGAAGCCCCGGCUAACUACGUGCCAGCAGCCGCGGUAAUACGUAGGGGGCUAGCGUUAUCCGGAAUUACUGGGCGUAAAGGGUGCGUAGGUGGUUUCUUAAGUCAGAAGUGAAAGGCUACGGCUCAACCGUAGUAAGCUUUUGAAACUGAGAAACUUGAGUGCAGGAGAGGAGAGUAGAAUUCCUAGUGUAGCGGUGAAAUGCGUAGAUAUUAGGAGGAAUACCAGUUGCGAAGGCGACUCUCUGGUCUGUAACUGACGCUGAGGCGCGAAAGCGUGGGGAGCAAACAGGAUUAGAUACCCUGGUAGUCCACGCCGUAAACGAUGAGUGCUAAGUGUUAGAGGGUUUCCGCCCUUUAGUGCUGAAGUUAACGCAUUAAGCACUCCGCCUGGGGAGUACGGCCGCAAGGCUGAAACUCAAAGGAAUUGACGG